rnacentral:rRNA from 1 species
GACGAACGCUGGCGGCGUGCUUAACACAUGCAAGUCGAACGGAAAGGCCCUGCUUUUGUGGGGUGCUCGAGUGGCGAACGGGUGAGUAACACGUGAGUAACCUGCCCUUGACUUUGGGAUAACUUCAGGAAACUGGGGCUAAUACCGGAUAGGAGCUCCUGCUGCAUGGUGGGGGUUGGAAAGUUUCGGCGGUUGGGGAUGGACUCGCGGCUUAUCAGCUUGUUGGUGGGGUAGUGGCUUACCAAGGCUUUGACGGGUAGCCGGCCUGAGAGGGUGACCGGCCACAUUGGGACUGAGAAACGGCCCAGACUCCUCGGGGGGGCAGCAGGGGGGAAAUUUGCACAAGGGGGGGAAGCCUGAUGCAGCAACGCCGGGGGCGGGAUGAGGGCCUUGGGGUUGUAAACCGCUUUCGCCUGUGACGAAGCGUGGGUGACGGUAAUGGGAAAAGAAGCACCGGCUACCUACGU